UGAGUGGCGGACGGGUGAGUAACGCGUGGGUAACCUGCCUCAUACAGGGGGAUAACAGUUAGAAAUGACUGCUAAUACCGCAUAAGCGCACAAAACCGCAUGGUUUGGUGUGAAAAACUGAGGUGGUAUGAGAUGGACCCGCGUCUGAUUAGCUAGUUGGAGAGGUAACGGCUCACCAAGGCAACGAUCAGUAGCCGACCUGAGAGGGUGACCGGCCACAUUGGGACUGAGACACGGCCCAAACUCCUACGGGAGGCAGCAGUGGGGAAUAUUGCACAAUGGGGGAAACCCUGAUGCAGCAACGCCGCAUGAGUGAAGAAGUAUUUCGGUAUGUAAAGCUCUAUCAGCAGGGAAGAAGAGAGACGGUACCUGACUAAGAAGCCCCGGCUAACUACGUGCCAGCAGCCGCGGUAAUACGUAGGGGGCAAGCGUUAUCCGGAUUUACUGGGUGUAAAGGGAGCGUAGACGGCUUGAUAAGUCUGAAGUGAAAGGCCAAGGCUUAACCAUGGAACUGCUUUGGAAACUAUGAGGCUAGAGUGCUGGAGAGGUAAGCGGAAUUCCUAGUGUAGCGGUGAAAUGCGUAGAUAUUAGGAGGAACACCAGUGGCGAAGGCGGCUUACUGGACAGAAACUGACGUUGAGGCUCGAAAGCGUGGGGAGCAAACAGGAUUAGAUACCCUGGUAGUCCACGCGGUA
rnacentral:rRNA from 1 species